UGGAAAGACUUGUAGUUUAUUUCCAUUACAGAUAAUGAUUGCUCUUGGUUUUAGGCUUGAAUGUGUUGAAAGGCAGUAAGGAAGGAACUGAUAGAUGGGAAAAGGUUGAAGAUUAGAGAGAGAAGAGGGAUGAGCUAGGUUGUAAUCUGCUGAUGACUAUGGGAGGGGAUGGGAUCAAGGAUAUAGGUAUUAGCAAGAAGAAGGGUCACUUUUUUAUUCACUAGGAGGGUGGGUGAGGAUGGAGGAGAAGGUGAGGAGGGAUGUCAAGUGGUUUUGAGAAGGGGAGAAGAGAAGCUCAAAAUGUCUCAACUCUCUUGAUAAAGGAAGAGGUGAAAUCCUUAGUUAAGAGAUUUGGGGAGGGGGAGAGAUAGAGGUACUGCAGGCUUGAGGAAAGUAAAAGGUGUAAAAAAGUUUUUGUAGGGAGUGAAACAAGAAAUCAGUUAGGGAAGGAUAAAAAAUUUGCUUUGCUGUAGUGAAGCCCCAGUAGAAGAUUAUGAAUUUAUAAUUUACCCAUUUUUUCUUCUUGUCCCUGUAUGAGUCUGGAAUUUAAGGACCCUGAGGAUGGCGACUGAGAGGCAGCAUAUCAGAGUGUGUGGAAUACCAGGGUCCUGCAGAGAGCUGAGGACACACUAGGUAUUCAAGUAUACACUAUGCAUAAAAAUGCACAGGCAAUUAAGACUCGGUUGGUUGAUUCUGAUCCACCCUCAGUAAUACAUACAUUCUGACUCAUCCUCCUAAUGGAGGGGAUGGAUUUGUGCUGAGCUGGCCCUGGGCACUAGGUCAGCCUCAGAGACAUAUAACCUUUGGGGGGUAAAAUACAACAAGGCCAGUUGGCUGACUGGACCAUCGAAGCUUGGGCUAGACUGGUUUUGUUGGUACCUCACCCAGACCAAGUGGGGUAACCUGUCCGUGGCUUCAAAGUCACAUGUCCUAAGAGGAGAAGAGUAAAUCUCAGCAAAACCAAUUCCCCCUUUUUGCCCGUGGGUCUCCAGCUUCAGCCUCAAUGAAGUGAAUGGUCCAUCAAAUCAAACUGGAGACUUUGCCUGCUGGAGGGCAGGGAAUUGCGAAAUUCUAUGAAGAAG